rnacentral:lncRNA from 1 species
UUGCUGAGCUCUGCCAAUUUUGCAUACGUUAGAAUUAAACCUAAGAGUAGAGGUAGUCAGAAAGCUUUUAUCAGAUUGUCCUCAUCUGAAAUGUUGUUUUACUGGAGUUCUAGUCAGUGCCAUUAGCCAAGUACCUCAUUACCUACUCCAGUUUCAUGACUUUAUACUCAGAAAAAUACAGACCCAUAACUAUUUGGGUAUCCCAUAGUAAAAGGGAAAAGUCUAAAAGAGGAUAGAAAUUCUUCUGGUAUCCUCUGGAGGCCAGGCAAAGUGGGUCUUGUAACUAUUAUACAUGCAAAGUCAGUGUGCCUGUCCUUCCUGUUCCCUUACCAAUAAGAACCUAGAAAUAUCUUUCCUUAUUCUUUCUCCACCCAUCAGUCAUCUACCCACUAACACUUCCCAUCAAUUCCUGUUUCUAGAAUGGAAAGACCCACGAUUUCAAGAGCAGUAGUUUAUCAAUUGUCUUAGAAGAUUUUCUUCAUCUAAACAAAGAACAUAAGUAGAUCACUAGAUGUGUCAGUCUUUUUAGCGUAACAUUUUACAAUUAUGUGUUUGAUUCUGUAGUCUUUUUCUUGAAUAUUACAGAGUCCAUAAUCUUAUGGUAUUUAAAAAUAAUCUACCCUGAAUUACAUUUAACUGUGUUCAGUGGCUCUCUGCUUGAGAAUUGCAAACUUGUCUUCGUCUUUUGGUAAUUGCAAUGGAAGAUGUCCUGAGUAUCCUGUCCUUUAUCUCUUUGUAUUGAUAUUAUGUGUUAGCUAUAGCCCUAUACCCUUCAUGUAUCUUGAUAUGUGUUUAUUGUAUGAAGCUGAAGGCAGAGUGUCUGUUCCCUCCCAACUCUCCUCCAGAAAACUGUGAUCCCUAGACAUGGCAACUUUUUUUUUAAGAAUCAAUUUUAUUUUUGGCUGUGUUGGGUCUUCGUUGCUGUGUGCGGGCUUUUUCUAGUUGCAGCGAGCGGGGGCUACUCUUGGUUGCAGUGUGCGGGCUUCUCAUUGUGGUGGCUUCUCUUGUUGCAGAGCACGGGCUCUAGGUGCAUGGGCUUCAGUAGUUGUGGCACACAGGUUCAGUAGUUGUGGCUCACGGGCUCUGGAGCGCAGGCUCAGUAGUUGUGGUGCAUGGGCUUAGUUGCUCAGUGGCAUGUGGUAUCCUCCCAGACCAGGGAUCGAACCCAUGUCCCCUGCAUUGGCAGGCGGAUUCUUAACCACUGCUCCACCAAGGAAGUCCCUAGACAUAGCAACUUUGAUUUCUGAUACAAUAAGAAGCUUGUGAUUUCUUCACAUUUACAAAAUACUCUCUGAACCAAAGAGCAUGUGCACUUCUGCAGUGGCUUCCCUAUUAAAGUAUGUAUGUUGGCUGCUUCUUCCCUGGUGUUAGCAAGACCUUGGAAUUUUUCCCAGGCUCAGUUUAGUACAGCUGAGUUAUUUUCUGGUUCCUAAAUAAUCAUGACUAGCUGUAGGCAGUCCUUCCCUGUCCCUCUCUCCUCCAGAAUCCUAAUCCAACCCCAAAUUAUCCUGUGGCCUCCAAAUAAGAAAAUCGUCUUAAACUUACUUAUCAUUUCCAUAAAAUUAUCUCUCUCAUUUUUUCCAAUGGUAGUAGCAGUAAUAUAAUACUGUCCCAGUGAAUACAUACGCACCUAGCUCAUCUCUUAGAAAUAGCCUACAAAGUAGUAUCCUAUUCCUGUCUGGUAAAAAAUAAAGACACUACUCAGUGCCGAAUUUUAUGAACCUUAUUCAGUCAUUAGUUACCAGUUUUAGUUGGUACUUCAGGCCAAGCCAAAGCCCCAGUAUUAAAAAGGUUGGGACAAGGUACUGGGUUAGUUUGCCUGUAGGAACUGAAAGUGUACACCGCAUACACUGAAGGGAGAAGUAGCUGUUUGGAAUUGGGUGUUUUCAUUCCCCAGCCAACACAAGUCAGAGAAAUCUGUUUGGGUUCCAGGGCCAUUGCUUUACCUUUUCUCAAGAUCAGCUAAAAUCCUCAUCAAGGAGGGUGUUUUUCAAACUGUAGUUCUUAACCCAUUAGUGAGCCGUAAAAUCAGUUCAAGAUCAGCAUAUUUUAAAAAUCGAAUAGCAAAGAAAAGAAGAGAGUUCUGCGUGUAACAAGGUUAAAUAUUGUUUCCUGAAAUAUCGUUUCAGUUAAAUAAGCUAUACUGUGUGUACCGGGUCACAAUAUAAAACGUACUUUCUUAUUGGGAAUUGCAAUUUCGGGGGGCGGGGAGAAAACCCUCGGAAGCCAGUGCUGUAGGAGGCGUUCACCAUCCAGUGACUGUUGAAACAAUCUGGGCUGUGUCAGGUUGUGAGCACUGCCUUUUUCUUUUGAGUGAGAAGACAGUAUAGCUCUUGUUUCAGAAAUGUUUCCCUUUCCUGGUGUGUAUCAGAUACCCUUAGAUACCUGUGUAAUAUGUUCCACUAGAUAUCAGUGGUCUAGAAAAAGCAUAGACACGUUAGAUCCACAAACAGCAAGCACCCAAAAAAGGUCAUAGGAUAUCCUUUACAUGUAUUUCAAUCUCUCGCGCACUAAGCAUUCUACUGAGAUGGGCACAGAAGUUCUCCUUUUAAGUACAUUGAGUGUGCUCCAUCUGCCUUCUGUCUGAUUCACCGUACAGGUGGCACAGGCAAAUGGGGAGCUUAUUCAUGGGUCACAAUCUUUUAGGGCCAAAAUACUUACUCUCUGGAGGGUGCUAAAUAAAUGCCAGUGCUGUUUAGCUGAAAAUAAUUGGAUUUCCUAAUUUCUGUAGGAUUCAAGUAGAAAACACACAUAACCUGAUUCUUUUUGCAAGAUUCAACACAAAAUUUAUUCACUCUGGUUUUCUUUGGUGCUACCCAGUAUCACUGAUAGCUCCUUUGCAUACUCUAAACGAGGACCAUCCACCCUCCUGCCCAAUCCUUUGAAAUAUACUUUUGAAAUUAUACCUUACUGCUAAUGCUAUACCUAAUCAAGCUAGCACUGAUCAGUUAAAAUUUUUAGGAUUCUUAUCAUCUAUAUUUUUGAUCAUUGCCCAAAACAGCUAUCAAUGCAGACCUUUUCUCCUGCUUCUUUUCUUUCUACCACAGUUGGUGUAAAGCAGUACUUGUUUCAGGGCUAUCCUAAAAGGCCAGCACAAGGACUGAGAAUAUGCUGGAUCCUACUCUUUUACAAACCUUCUUCAUGUUUCUUUAAUGGAAACCUUUUUUUACUUUAUUUCCUCUUUUGUAAGGUAAAUUGUUCAAUGUCAUUUUUUUUUAAAGUUUUGCUUUACAAUUACAGAUUAGUUCUUUUCUAAAAGCAUUAUGGCAUUUCCAAAAAAAAACUGAUAAUUCUGGUUACCCAAUGAGCCAUGUAAGAGAUGAAACUUCAAAUUUUAUAGGUUGAUACGAGUAUAUUUUUAAAGUUUUUAUUACUUUAUACAAAUCCAAAGUUAUUUGUAUUAUAGUUUAGCACCCGCUGUGAUAUCUGUCAGCCUGAAAAUCCCUGUCUGUCGCUGAAUACCAUUCACAUUCAUUUAGUAUUGCUCUGAUACCUUUAAUAAUGGGUUCCUUCUAAUGAAGUCCUUGUAAUAAGAAACCCUGUAAGAGUAAUAUAAUAAAAAGUCUAAUAAUCAGAAGUGUACUUAAAAUAGAUCGUGUUGGAAACCCCCAACAUUUCUUCUAAUGCCAUCAUACCACCAGCGUUCUAUUGGCUACCCAAAAGUUUCCACUUUGGGAGCUGAAAAAUGUUCAAGUAACAAUGUAGACUACACUGAAAUGUUCUCAAUGUCAGUAAUUUUAUACCGACACUCACAGACUAUUAGAAAUUGUAUGUGGGACUUGUUGCAAGGUCAGGUUGUUGUAGACCUUUUAAAAUGAUCAUCUCCGUAAGUGAAUAUGUGUAUUACAUAUAAAAUUGAACUCUUCAGGGAAUGUGCACUUUAAAAAUAUUUCCUUACUAAUUUUUGUAUUGACCAAAUAGUCUGCUCCUUUGGAAUGUUUAUUCUUUAGCAAAAAUAUGGUUGUUGAUGAUGACAGUUCUUUAAAUGUCUGUUUCUGCAUCGGUGCAAUAUUUCCUUCACUUUUGGGUUCCUUAUACUUAUGUCUGACCCAGUUGCCCGUUAUACAGUCUCUGCCUUGAUUUUGUGUGUUCUGGUAAAAUAAUUAAUUUAUAAACACAAACGUUUACAGUGAAGUUCUUCCUCUUGAAAUUGAACUUAGUCUUAUUUUCCACUGAAAAUUGGUUGGCUAUGUUCACCAAUGACUUUUUUCUAAAUAAUAAUAAUGUCUUGCUAUUGGUAGAACUGGAUUGCUUGAUCACUGACUGCCCAGUUUAACUAUGUGUACCUCUUUCAAAUAAAGAUUUCUGAUCUUC